rnacentral:rRNA from 1 species
CAGCGCCACGAGUGGCAACCGCGAUUAUUGGGCCUAAAGCGUCCGUAGCCGGUUUGGUAAAUCUUUUGUGAAAUUGUACAGCUCAACUGUACAGCGUGCAAGAGACACUGCCAAACUCGAGACCGGGAGGAGUCAGAAGUAUUCCAGGGGGAGCGGUAAAAUGCUAUAAUCCAAAGAGGACCACCUGUGGCGAAGGCGUCUUGCUAGAACGGAUCCGACGGUGAGGGACGAAAGCCAGGGGAGCGAUCCGGAUUAGAGACCCGAGUAGUCC